ensembl:piRNA 21ur-3740 ncRNA
UGGUUCUUGCAUGUAUGAAUA